rnacentral:lncRNA from 1 species
GCUGUACAGGAAGCAUGGCACCAACAUCUGCCCAGCUCCUAGGGAGGCCUCGGGGAGCUUUUACUCAUGGUGGAGGGUGAAGCAGGAGCAAGUACAUCAUACGGCGAAAGCAAGAGCAAAAUUUCUCACAUUAUGCAAGUAUUCUGCCAAAAAUGAUGUUCUCUUUCUUCCUUGGAGAUUUGCAGUGCAUUAACAUAUUAAAGACUCUUAAUAAUUUCUCCAGUAAAUAAACUUGAUUAUUCAUUUUUUAAUCCAUCAUUUCCCAAAAUUAAUUGGCCAUGGAAUUAUCUAUUAAUAUAAUACCUUGUUAAACCCUGCAUUGCUGUGCACCACAGAACACAGUUUGGGAAACAGUGUUCAAUUAACAAGCCCUUCUGUAAAACAGCAUGCUUCAAUUCAGAAACACAUGAGCUGAACAAAUACUUGACACCAAAUGACUUUACAGAAUGUAUUUUCACAAUAAGAAAGUAGAAACUAGGUUCCAAGAUGGCUGAAUAGGAACAGCUCCAGUCUACAGCUUCUGGCGUGAGCGACACAGAAGAUGGGUGAUUUCUACAUUUCCAACUGAGGUACUGGGUUCAUGUCACUGGGGUAAAAACAUGCCAAAUUGUAAAGACCAUCGAUGCUAGGAAGAAACCGCAUCAACUAGCGAGCAAAAUAACCAUCUAACAUCAUAAUGACAGGAUCGAAUUCACACAUAACAAUAUUAACCUUAAAUGUAAAUGGGCUAAAUGCUGCAAUUACAAGACACAGACUGGCAAAUUGGAUAAAGAGGCAAGACCCAUCAGUGUGCUGUAUUCAGGAGACCCAUCUCACAUGCAGAGACACAUAUAGGCUCAGAAUAAAGGGAUGGAGGAUGAUCUACCAAGCAAAUGGAAAACAUAAAAAACGAGGGGUUGGAAUCCUAGUCUCUGAUAAAACAGACUUUAAACCAACAAAGAUCAGAAGAGAACUCAGGAUUCAAAAACUCACUCAAAACUGCUCAACUACAUGGAAACUGAACAACCUGCUCCUGAA